UAGGGAAUCUUCGGCAAUGGGGGGAACCCUGACCGAGCAACGCCGCGUGAGUGAAGAAGGUUUUCGGAUCGUAAAGCUCUGUUGUUAAGGAAGAACGAGUGUGAGAAUGGAAAGUUCAUGCUGUGACGGUACUUAACCAGAAAGGGACGGCUAACUACGUGCCAGCAGCCGCGGUAAUACGUAGGUCCCGAGCGUUGUCCGGAUUUAUUGGGCGUAAAGCGAGCGCAGGCGGUUAGAAAAGUCUGAAGUGAAAGGCAGUGGCUCAACCAUUGUAGGCUUUGGAAACUGUUUAACUUGAGUGCAGAAGGGGAGAGUGGAAUUCCAUGUGUAGCGGUGAAAUGCGUAGAUAUAUGGAGGAACACCGGUGGCGAAGGCGACUCUCUGGUCUGUAACUGACGCUGAGGUUCGAAAGCGUGGGUAGCAAACAGG
rnacentral:rRNA from 1 species